rnacentral:tRNA from 2 species
GGGCCGUUGGCGCAGACUGGUAGCGCACUUCCUUGACAUGGAAGGGGUCACAGGUUCAAAUCCUGUACGGCCCACCA